UGAAUGCCUCGGGAAACUGCCUGAUGGAGGGGGAUAACUACUGGAAACGGUAGCUAAUACCGCAUAACGUCGCAAGACCAAAGAGGGGGACCUUCGGGCCUCUUGCCAUCGGAUGUGCCCAGAUGGGAUUAGCUAGUAGGUGGGGUAACGGCUCACCUAGGCGACGAUCCCUAGCUGGUCUGAGAGGAUGACCAGCCACACUGGAACUGAGACACGGUCCAGACUCCUACGGGAGGCAGCAGUGGGGAAUAUUGCACAAUGGGCGCAAGCCUGAUGCAGCCAUGCCGCGUGUAUGAAGAAGGCCUUCGGGCUGUAAAGUACUUUCAGCGGGGAGGAAGGCGAUAAGGUUAAUAACCUUGUCGAUUGACGUUACCCGCANAAGAAGCACCGGCUAACUCCGUGCCAGCAGCCGCGGUAAUACGGAGGGUGCAAGCGUUAAUCGGAAUUACUGGGCGUAAAGCGCACGCAGGCGGUCUGUCAAGUCNGAUGUGAAAUCCCCGGGCUCAACCUGGGAACUGCAUUCGAAACUGGCAGGCUANAGUCUUGUAGAGGGGGGUAGAAUUCCAGGUGUAGCGGUGAAAUGCGUAGAGAUCUGGAGGAAUACCGGUGGCGAAGGCGGCCCCCUGGACAAAGACUGACGCUCAAGUGCGAAAGCGUGGGGGAGCANACAGGGAUUAGAUACCCUUGUUAGUCCCNCCCGUAAACCGAUGUUCUACUUGGAGG
rnacentral:rRNA from 1 species